GACGAACGCUGGCGGCGUGCCUAAUACAUGCAAGUAGAACGCUGAAGGAGGAGCUUGCUUCUCCGGAUGAGUUGCGAACGGGUGAGUAACGCGUAGGUAACCUGCCUGGUAGCGGGGGAUAACUAUUGGAAACGAUAGCUAAUACCGCAUAACAGUAGAUGUUGCAUGACAUUUGCUUAAAAGGUGCAAUUGCAUCACUACCAGAUGGACCUGCGUUGUAUUAGCUAGUUGGUGGGGUAACGGCUCACCAAGGCGACGAUACAUAGCCGACCUGAGAGGGUGAUCGGCCACACUGGGACUGAGACACGGCCCAGACUCCUACGGGAGGCAGCAGUAGGGAAUCUUCGGCAAUGGACGGAAGUCUGACCAAGCAACGCCGCGUGAGUGAAGAAGGUUUUCGGAUCGUAAAGCUCUGUUGUAAGAGAAGAACGAGUGUGAGAGUGGAAAGUUCACACUGUGACG
rnacentral:rRNA from 1 species